AUUGAACGCUGGCGGCAGGCCUAACACAUGCAAGUCGAGCGGAUGAAGGGAGCUUGCUCCUGGAUUCAGCGGCGGACGGGUGAGUAAUGCCUAGGAAUCUGCCUGGUAGUGGGGGAUAACGUCCGGAAACGGGCGCUAAUACCGCAUACGUCCUGUGGGAGAUAGUGGGGGAUGUUCGGACCUCACGCUAUCAGAUGAGCCUAGGUCGGAUUAGCUAGUUGGUGGGGUAAAGGCCUACCAAGGCGACGAUCCGUAACUGGUCUGAGAGGAUGAUCAGUCACACUGGGACUGAGACACGGUCCAGACUCCUACGGGAGGCAGCAAUGGGGAAUAUUGGACAAUGGGGGAAAUCCUGAUCCAGCCAUGCCGCGUGUGUGAAGAAGGUCUUCGGAUUGUAAAGCACUUUAAGUUGGGAGGAAGGGCAGUAAGUUAAUACCUUGCUGUUUUGACGUUACCAACAGAAUAAGCACCGGCUAACUUCGUG
rnacentral:rRNA from 1 species